CGUAGGGGGCAAGCGUUGUCCGGAUUUAUUGGGCGUAAAGCGCUCGCAGGUGGUCCGCUGCGUCGUGCGUGAAAGACCCCGGCUCAACUGGGGGGCGUCGUGCGAUACGGGCGGACUGGAGGCCAGUAGGGGGAUGCGGAAUUCCGGGUGUAGUGGUGGAAUGCGUAGAGAUCCGGAGGAACACCAGCGGCGAAGGCGGCAUCCUGGACUGGUCCUGACACUCAGGAGCGAAAGCGUGGGGAGCGAUCCGGAUUAGAUACCCGGGUAGUCCACGCCGUAAACGAUGAGCACUAGGUGUCGGGGGUAUCGACCCCCUCGGUGCCGCAGCCAACGCGAUAAGUGCUCCGCCUGGGGACUACGGCCGCAAGGCUA
rnacentral:rRNA from 1 species